rnacentral:tRNA from 1 species
CGGGGCGGUACGCGGCCGGUUCGGUGCGGGGCCGGUUCGGGUUCGGUGCGGGGCCGGUUCGGGCCCUGGCGCACCGG